rnacentral:rRNA from 1 species
AGAGUUUGAUCCUGGCUCAGAAUGAACGCUGGCGGCGUGCUUAACACAUGCAAGUCGUACGAGAACGCUUCAGCUUGCUGAAGCUAGUAAAGUGGCGUACGGGUGAGUAACGCGUGGGUAAUCUACCUUCGAAUUGGGGAUAACGUUGCGAAAGUGACGCUAAUACCGGAUAAUAUCAUAGAGACCUUGGUUUUUAUGAUCAAAGAUGGCCUCUCCUUGGAAGCUAUUGUUUGGAGAUGAGCCCGCGUCCCAUUAGCUUGUUGGUGGGGUAAUGGCCUACCAAGGCUACGAUGGGUAGCUGGUCUGAGAGGAUGAUCAGCCACACUGGAACUGACACACGGUCCAGACUCCUACGGGAGGCAGCAGUGAGGAAUUUUGCGCAAUGGGGGAAACCCUGACGCAGCAACGCCGCGUGAGUGAUGAAGGCUUUCGGGUCGUAAAGCUCUGUCAAGUGGGAAGAACUCCCGCGAGGUUAAUACCCUCAUGGUUUGACGGUACCACUGAAGGAAGCACCGGCUAACUCCGUGCCAGCAGCCGCGGUAAUACGGGGGGUGCAAGCGUUAUUCGGAUUUACUGGGCGUAAAGCGCGCGUAGGCGGCCGUUUAAGUCAGAUGUGAAAGCCCGGGGCUCAACCCCGGAAGUGCAUUUGAUACUAUUCGGCUUGAGUAUGGGAGAGGGAAGUGGAAUUCCUGGUGUAGAG